rnacentral:lncRNA from 1 species
AUGAGGAAGCAGGCCCAGAGUGGCAUGUGGGCUCAGACCCCGCUGGAUCUCCACCCCCCGCUGGACCAGCAAUGGGAAGCAGCGCAGCCCUCCGUACAGCAGAGGUGUGGGCAUAGCCACCCCAGGAAACUGUACCCCAGGAGGAUGCCCGAGUGAGGGGGGCCGUGAGGAGCGAAAGAUCUUCUCUUUUCCAGAAAUGCAAGAAAAAUAUCAAGAGGCUGGAUUCAUUCUUUAAACCUGUUUCAACUAUAGAUGCCAUCUCUUGACAGCCUGCUCUCGAGGGUCAGCCGAUCUGAGUGGAAAGCCCAAGGCCUCUGCUUCCAAGACUCACUUGCAAGUUUGGACAAGAAGAUUCGAAAGCCCUGCUCUGGUGCCCACCACUGGGGCAGACAUUUAGGGCACAGCUGCUCUUGCCUGGGAGUACCAGGGCCCCCAGCAGCUGGUUUCCUAGCCAGGCUAAUGCGUGAAAACAGGGAGAAGACCCUGGUAAGUACACAGGAGGGUGGGCGCAGGAAGAGAACUGAGCUCUUUGUCCAAAUA